CAGUUCGGAUUGGAGGCUGAAACCCGCCUCCAUGAAGUUGGAUUCGCUAGUAAUCGCGCAUCAGCCAUGGCGCGGUGAAUACGUUCCCGGGCCUUGUACACACCGCCCGUCAAGCCAUGGAAGCCGGGAGUGCCUGAAGUGCGUGAGCGCAAGCAGCGCCCUAAGGUAAAACCGGUGACUGGGGCUAAGUCGUAACAAGGUAGC
rnacentral:rRNA from 1 species